rnacentral:rRNA from 1 species
GACGAACGCUGGCGGCGUGCUUAACACAUGCAAGUCGAACGGUGAAGCGCCUUCCUUUUUGGUGGGUGUGGAUGAGUGGCGAACGGGUGAGUAACACGUGAGUAACCUGCCCCCUUCUUCUGGAUAACCGCAUGAACGUGUGGCUAAUACGGGAUAUUCUGGGUCUGUCGCUUGCUGGGUCUGGGAGGGAUAUUGUUUCGGUGGGGGCUGGGCUCGCGGCCUAUCAGCUUGUUGGUGGGGUGAUGGCCUACCAAGGCGGGGACGGGUAGCCUGCCUGAGAGGGUGGACGGUCAGACUGGGACAGAGGCACGGGCCAGACUCGGACGGGAGGCGGAGGUGGGGAAUAGUGCUGGAUGGGAGCAAGACUGAGGCAGCGACGGCGCGUGAGGGAUGGUGGCGGUCGGUUUGUGAACCUCGUUCGCGAGUGAAGCGGGCGUGCCUCGAAUGUGGGUGGGUUGACGGUAGCUGGAGAAGAAGCGACGGCUAACUACGUG